rnacentral:rRNA from 1 species
UACGUAGGGUGCAAGCGUUAAUCGGAAUUACUGGGCGUAAAGCGUGCGUAGUCGGUUAUUUAAGUCGGGCGUGAAAGCCCCGGGCUCAACCUGGGAAUUGCGUUCGAUACUGGAUAGCUAGAGUUCGGCAGAGGGAAGCGGAAUUUCUGGUGUAGCGGUGAAAUGCGUAGAUAUCAGAAGGAACAUCAGUGGCGAAAGCGGCUUCCUGGACCAGAACUGACGAUCAGGCACGAAAGCGUGGGGAGCAAACAGG